UACGUAGGGGGCAAGCGUUGUCCGGAUUUAUUGGGCGUAAAGAGCGUGUAGGCGGCUUGGUAGGUCCGCUGUGAAAACUCGAGGCUCAACCUCGAGAUGUCGGCGGAAACCACUUGGCUAGAGUCCGGAAGAGGAGAGUGGAAUUCCCCGGUGUAGGCGGUGAAAUGCGCGAGAUAUCGGGAAGAACACCUAUGGCGGAAGGCAGCUCUCUGGGA
rnacentral:rRNA from 1 species